UCUCACAUUUCUCUCAGAGAAGGUCUGCCUCUAGGGAGGCUCUGACUGUGGGGGAGACUGUGGACCUCUUCUUUGGAGGUCUUCUUUGAACCUCAUCCUCAUGGUCUCUCUUCUUGCUCUACUGCAGAGGCCCUUGGCUCCUGAAGGGAAGAUGUGACCGACAAUGGAGAAAGGCAGGAGGAAGGACAGACCAGUAGUGGAAGAAAGAGAGACUGGAGAAAGGAAGACUGUGGGACCUGAUCUGCUGCUUGCCCUGCACUGGCUCUGCUCUAGCCCUCCAGCUGGCCCCACUGCUUAAAGGAGAAAGGGAGUCUCACAGGAAAACCCUUUGCCGAGAGCUGGACUCCAACCCUGGCCCCGUGCACAUCUUCAGGCACAUGCCUGUAUGCUCAGCCCAGGGCCUGGCCGCUGACAAUGCCGGGACAGGAACAGAGAAGAUUUGCACAUUGUGUUUAAGGGGCCAGCUGGCUGCCUGCGACAGUGGAGCCAAGGUGUGGGAACCAGAAGCUCCGGACUUCCACACUCAAGUCCUGCUAUGGGGGAGAAGAGGAAAACCUGGGCUCCACGCUCCAGACCUCAGCUAUCAGCCUCCAGACAGAGGCCCAAGGUUACCAGUCACUGCACCAGGAACCACCUCCCAGCAUGGACCACUGCCCUGCAGAGAGACCCCCAAAUCACUGAGCUCCCACCAUCAAGGCGUCAUUCCCAGUCACUCCCGCCUACAGUCUCCUGACUCCAGGCCCUGCCCCAGUGGAAAGGGGAUCCAGAGUAGCUGGUUCACAGGGCUUUCCUCAGACUCGCUGAGAAUGAAGAAGUAGGAGCUGAGGCCCGAGGAGACAGGUAACACUGAGGUGGAGAGAACAGGAAUUGGCCUUUCUCCCUCUCACCACACCCCACUGCCUCCUACGAGGGGCUUCCUGGUAAUCACCCCACAACCAAAGGACCUUACCCUUUUCACCUGUUAUUUCUCAGAAUAAUAGGAGUUAAUAUUAUUGGUUCCUUAAUAAUCGUUGAGGAAUACUGCCUGUGGCCCUGUGCUAAGUUCUUCAUGAACAUUAUUCACCUAAUCCUCACAACACUCCUCCUUGGUAAGAAUUAUAGUCCCUGCCCCCUUUUUCAGUACUGGAGAUGGAACUCAGGGGUGCUCUAUCACUGAGCUACACCUUCAGCCCUUUUGAUUUUUUAUUUUGAGACAGGGUCUACAUUGCUGAGGCCGGCCUUGAACUUGCACUCCUUCUGCCUCUGAGUAGCUGGGAUUACAGGCAUGCCCCACUGUUCACAGUGAUACUUCCCCCUAUUAUAAAGAUGAGGAAACUGAGGCUCAUGAAGGUUAAUUGACUUGCCCAAGGUCCCACAGCUAGUGGGUAGUAGAGCCAAGCCCCAAGUCCACCAAGCCAAGGUCUCUUUGCUGCCUUAACUCGCAUUCAAAACCACUGUUGGGGAAGGGUGUAGUGGUGCACGCCUGUAAUUCCAAUGACUCAGGAAGCUGAGGGAGGAGGAUCCCAAGUUCAAAGCUAGCCUGGGCAACUUAUUGAGUUCCUGUCUCAAACUAAUAAAUAAAUAAAAGAACUGGGAAUGUAUCUCAGUGGUAAAGCACCCCCUAGUUUGAAUCCCUAGGACCAAAACUGUGUUGGACUCACUCUAGCUGGCUCAUUGAGAAUCCUGUCAGGACUGAGACAGGCCAGACCUCAUCCUAAAUUAGUGGACAAUACCUGCCACUAACACUACUGAGCCUUUCCAGAUGCCAAGCCCUGUGUCAGAUGCUUUGUUUUCAUCACCUCAUUUAAUCCUCCCACAGCCCUGAUAGACAGACAAGAGCACAGAGGCUGAAGAAGGUUGAGUAACUCAUGCUAAACACACUUGUUUGGGUCUGGCAGUAAAGUCCUAGUUCUAUAAACUUCUUUAUGUUGCCCACAGGCCCCCAAAUCAGAGAUUAUGCCAAUGGAACGGGCACUCCUAUAGCACCUGGGUACUCAGGUGUGGCCUAUGGCCAGCAGCAUUGGCAUCACUGGAUUCUCAUUAGACACAGAAAUCUUGGCCUUGGCCCAGACCUGCAAAUUUGAAAUCAAGUCUUAGCAAGACCCCUGGGUGAGCUGGGGGUACAGUGGCACAUGCCUGUAAUCCCAGGUAUUCAGGAGGCAGGAGGAUCACAAGUUUGAGGCCAGUCUAGGCAACUAGCAAGACCCUGUCUCAAAAUUUAAAAAGGGAUGGAGGCGUGGCUCAGAAUGGAGCCUUGUUUUAGACAAGUCCCAGGAUCAGCUGGGUUUGGGAAACACUGAACUGGAUCACAGGGCUCUUGACUCCAGCUCCCUGGAGACCAAGAAGUAAGGGACAGGGACUGAGGAAUUCUGCCUAAGGACAGAAACGGAGCUGGGAUGGGUCCCCAUUAUCCCUGCUCCUUGAGGCUGGCCCGUGCCUCUUUGGAGUCCUCCAGGCAUGUGGACCUCAACAAGUGAGAGUCGGUGUAUGUGUUCACUGGGCCAGCAGCAGAGGGUCUCAUAGGCCUUCCCAGCUUCAGUCCACACUCUGAGACCUGGGAGAACCCCCAGGCCUUCCCAGGAGCGGCUGAAAGAGAACAAGAAGCACUCCAGCCCAACAAUUCACCGCCCAAUGGAGUGCUCCCCAAAGGAGUCCCUGCAAGGGAGAAGCCAGGGCUGGGAGCGGACCUGAGCAGUUUGCUUCCACUGCAGAUUAACCUCCACGGGCAGCAAAAUUGUAUUUGAAACUUCUCUCAAUGACACUGCCUUUAAAUAAAGAAAG